rnacentral:rRNA from 1 species
ACGGCUCAGUAACACGUAGUCAAUCUAACCUAUGGACGGGGAUAACCUCGGGAAACUGAGAAUAAUACCCGAUAGGCCAUUAUGCCUGGAACGGUUUAUGGUCGAAAUGAUUUAUCGCCAUAGGAUGGGACUGCGACCUAUCAGCUUGUUGGUAAGGUAAUGGCUUACCAAGGCUAUUACAGGUACGGGCUCUGAGAGGAGAAGCCCGGAGAUGGGUACUGAGACACGGACCCAGGCCCUAUGGGGCGCAGCAGGCGAGAAAACUUUGCAAUGUGCGAAAGCACGACAAGGUUAAUCCGAGUGGUUUGUGCUAAACGAACCUUUUGACAGUCCUAGAAACACUGUUGAAUAAGGGGUGGGCAAGUUCUGGUGUCAGCCGCCGCGGUAAAACCAGCACCUCAAGUGGUCAGGAUGAUUAUUGGGCCUAAAGCAUCCGUAACCUGAUCUGUAAGUUUUCGGUUAAAUCUAUGCGCUUAACGUAUAGGCUGCCGGAAAUACUGCAGAUCUAGGGAGUGGGAGAGGUAGACGGUACUCGGUAGGAAGGGGUAAGAUCCUUUGAUCUAUUGAUGACCACCUGUGGCGAAGGCGGUCUACCAGAACACGUCCGACGGUGAGGGAUGAAAGCUGGGGGAGCAAACCGGAUUAGAUACCCGGGUAGUCCCAGCUGUAAACAAUGCAAACUCAGUGAUGCAUUGGCUUGUGGCCAAUGCAGUGCUGCAGGGAAGCCGUUAAGUUUGCCGCCUGGGAAGUACGUACGCAAGUAUGAAACUUAAAGGAAUUGGCGGGGGAGCAC